GGCAGCGGGACGCGGGCGGCGAAGCGGCCCCGAAACCGAGUCUGGUGGCGCCCCAAGUCUCCCCGAGUGACCCCGGCUUGCCAGAUAUUGCGAGUGAGGAAACAACAGGGUUGUCAUACCUAGUAGGACGAAGAGGCUGUGGAAACAAACAUGGAGUAAUCCAGUGGCAUGCAGCUGUGAUGGAAGGAUAUCCUGCACAGCUUUACCUGGAUUAAAAAGAAGCAGUGUCUGUAGGAAGAAAAACCGUGGAGAGAACUAUCCACAAUUUCCUAACAGGAGAAGGUGCUGUGACUUGCUGUGACUUUUGAGUGAGCAAGAUGUCGCGAUAGAAGAUAAUAAAAGUAUGAUGACUAAGCAGAGUGCUGAAGCUUAUCAGAGAAGUUGCAUAUGAAAAGUCUUCAUUUGGAAGUUUGAUAAACAACAAAUCCUUCAAAUAGAACAGACUGCAACUCUGCUCUGCCUGGAAAUUACACAUGCAAGGCUUGUCUCUGACUGGAUGCAUGCCAGAUUGUCCUUUGGGAUAUAGCCCAGUGAGAAGGAGAAAUGGGUUUGAACUUGGCAAAAUGGCAAUAAACAUAAAGGAAGAAACUGGAAAGCUGCUUCAUCAGUGCAAAUCCAUACUGUGGUUGGUCUCAUGAAAAGGAUCAUACUGAUGAAUUAGUGCAUCUACCCUCCCAGCCAUGGAAGAAUACUUCAUACAAAAAAAAUCCAUAGCUGACUAACAGGUGUGGUAAGCAGCCUGUGAGACUUGGGAGAAACAUUCUGGUAUACCUGGAAAUCAAUCUAAAUUACCUGCCAUUGUGGAUAUUUUAGACUUAAUUCAUGCUUUCCCACCACAAUUCAGAACACGUCCUUUAUCUGAACAGCUUUGCUUUCUUGUUUGUUUGUUUUUUAUGUUUGUCAGUCAUUACACGGUGCUAUUUAGAAUCAAUUUAGCACCCUUCCAUGUGUUAAGUGGUUGUGGUGAGUGAUGAUUGCAGGAUUCGCCUGCUAGUAAUUAAAUGUUGCUGCCUCUUAGCUUGAAAAUGAAACAUCUCUGUGGAAUUUAAGAGUUUUUUACUUUAUUUAGGUUGGGUGUUUCUAAAUAGUAUGGGUAGGUUUACCAAGUCAG